rnacentral:lncRNA from 1 species
GUAAUAUUGCUGUAAGCAUUAGCAGGUCUAAGCAGGGUGGUCUGAAUUUUGAUGUUAAGAAGACAGAAUUUAUCUUCCACAUCUUCAGUGAAUAAACAUGAAGUCCAGUACAUGUUGAGUUUUGUGUUUCUUAGUUUUGAACAUUAGAGAACUAGGGUGUGACAUUUUGUGGUCUCUCUUUCAAGUCCUGAGGAAUGUAGUUUUGCAGUACAAAGUGGAGAAUUAGGCAAUGAAAAACAGAAUGCAACAGACAUAAUUGUUUUAAUAUGUCACUGCCAACUGUCAUUGGCCCUAGUGGGAGGACUCAGAUGGCACCCCUGUCUCUAAGGAUUGGCUGGGGAUCUUCACAUUUCAUCCAUCAUUUCAUCACAGAUCAUCUCAGCCUCUCCUGAACUGUGACCAACUGGCUUACUCAAGGGACUGGAUCUGCUGUCCCGACAUGAUGGCAAGCUGCAGCACAUCAUGCAGAUUAAAGUUCAGCCUGCCUCAGACUCAGGAUAAAAACACAUUUGGGACAGUCUCGCUCAGCCUCAUUGCAGAGACAAGAAAUGUAUGAAAAGAAAGUACAGAGAAAAAAAAAGAAUGGAAUACACAUGAAUGCCGAACCACAUUGGAUAUGUAGCUGUUCAUGAAGAUAUUCCAGGGAAGGCCUAUCUAGUAGAGCCUCAAAUCUAUUUGAAUACAAAUGGCACUCAUUAAGGACAUCUGUCUUCUGUAAUGUCUACACAAAGUCUUACCGGGGUCUUCUUGGCUCUUAUUGACGGCUGAUGAAGGAGGGGUUUAUAAAGAAAACAAGCCAAAACCUGAAUAACUUGCUACUGAGAGCAGCACACAUAUUUUCCCAAAGUGCAAAGUUGAGAAGAAGUACAAAGCUUUGUUAAUAUUCUGAACAGUACUGCUUAGUAUGAUCUAAUUGAUGGAUUUUCCAUGGACUCCCUAGAGACUGAAAAAGAAGUUCCACAAUGGAUGUUCCUGAUGAGUGUGCAUUCGUAUAAUUAUUCAGAGACUCAAACUCCUACCAUUUAAUGUCUCCUCCAUUUCUGGAGUCCCAGGAGUCCUCUUCAAGAGAGCCUCUGUCUUUGGCUGACCUUCAUGAGAAAGUAUAUGGAGGUCACAUGGGUGAUAUUUCAUGCUGAGCCUGUAAGUUACACAGAUCCCUCUGCUCACAUUUCACGGGCCAGACAACGCAUGGCCACUCCACAGUAUGGGAAGCUGGGACCUGCACUCCAGUUCUGUGCUUAGACAAUAGAAAAGGAAGAUUUUGAACAUUUAAUAGUCUUUCUUCAACUUAUAAUUGGAAAUACAUUUUAAAAUAGUCAUAUAUUCAUAUAGUAGAAUAAAAAACUUGAUAGUAGUUAUCAAACUUUUUUACCAUUCAAUACAAUGAAAAGAUGUUCUUGAUGUAUCGAGUGGAAAGUGUUUGUUACAAACAAUGUUUUUGUCACAAGUUUUAUGGUUAUUCACACAGCCAUGCUAUCAUCUCAGCAAUGUCAUACUUCCUGCUUUCCCAAGUUUUCCUUUUUUUUCUUUUUCUUCUAUGUGCUUAGUAAAGAAAGCAUGAUGGCUGGGCACGGUGGCUGAUGCCUGUAAUCCCAGUACGUUGGCAGACCAAGAGGGGAGGAUCACGAGGUCAGGAGAUUGAGACCAUCUUGGCUGCAGUGCAACUCUGUCUCUACUAAAAAUACAAAAAUUUAGCCAGGCAUGGUGGCCAGGCGCCUGUAGUCCCAGCUACUCGGGA